GGUUUGUGGCUCAGUGGUAGAGUGCUUGCCUAGCAUGCGUGAGGCACUGGGUUCAAUCCCCAGCACCA
rnacentral:tRNA from 1 species